rnacentral:rRNA from 1 species
GACGAACGCUGGCGGCGUGCUUAACACAUGCAAGUCGAACGGUGAAAGCGGAGCUUGCUCCGCUGGAUCAGUGGCGAACGGGUGAGUAACACGUGGGCAACCUGCCCCUCACUUCGGGAUAACUCCGGGAAACCGGGGCUAAUACCGGAUAUGACCUCCUUGGGCAUCCUUGGAGGUGGAAAGUUUUUCGGUGAGGGAUGGGCCCGCGGCCUAUCAGCUUGUUGGUGAGGUAGUGGCUCACCAAGGCGACGACGGGUAGCCGGCCUGAGAGGGCGACCGGCCACACUGGGACGGAGACACGGCCCAGACUCCUACGGGAGGCAGCAGUGGGGAAUAUUGCGCAAUGGGCGAAAGCCUGACGCAGCAACGCCGCGUGCGGGAUGACGGCCUUCGGGUUGUAAACCGCUUUCAGCAGGGAAGAAGCCGCAAGGUGACGGUACCUGCGGAAGAAGCACCGGCUAACUACGUGCCAGCAGCCGCAGUAA